AAAUCCAAUCGAAAUCGCUAAAAGUAUCUUGGUCCGACGGGUAGCUUUUAGUUAAAUCAAAGUGCAGAAUAAACAUGUAGAUCCAAAGGCGGAGUGCUUGCGGACGGGGGUUCGAUUCCCCCCGUCUCCACCA
rnacentral:tmRNA from 1 species